UACGGAGGGGGCUAGCGUUAUUCGGAAUUAUUGGGCGUAAAGGGCGUGUAGGCGGCUUCGUAAGUCUCGUGUGAAAGCCCUCGGCUCAACCGAGGAAUUGCACGAGAAACUGCGUGGCUCGAGUCCGGGAGAGGAUAGUGGAAUUCCCAGUGUAGCGGUGAAAUGCGUAGAUAUCCAGAGGAACACCAGUGGCGAAGGCGGCCUACUGGGCUCCACCUGACACUGAGGCGCGAAAGCGUGGGGAGCGAACCGG
rnacentral:rRNA from 1 species